rnacentral:lncRNA from 1 species
CCUCUUCCUAAUCCCUCAGCCCGGGGCUCCCAUCUCCCCAAGUUCUCCCCCCUCUUCCUACUCCCUCAGCCCGGGGCUCCCAUCUCCCCAAGUUCUCCCCCCUCUUCCUACUCCCUCAGCCCGGGGCUCCCAUCUCCCCAAGUUCUCCCCCCUCUUCCUACUCCCUCAGCCCGGGGCUCCCAUCUCCCCAAGUUCUCCCCCCUCUUCCUACUCCCUCAGCCCGGGGCUCCCAUCUCCCCAGGCAGAGAGCGGCCACCUGAGUUACCGCAUGGCCUGCCACUGCCUCCCUCCUGACCUGGAAGAGUCCAGACCGUCUUCCAGUCUGUAUCCCCAGCACCUGGUCGGAUGGAGGGGUCCGCAGUGGCGCCCAGGGCAGCUCUAUCUGGACGCCCCCACCCCCAUGGGUGUCGCCCCUGGAGCUGCCCAGCCAGUGCCCACUGCAGACAAAGUCCUGGCUCCCAGCUGCCUCCUCUCUGGUCCACUUAGCCCACACUGAGCCCCCAGGGCAGCAGCUCUCCAAGCACACCCUGGCCCUGGCCCGCCCCACGCACAACCUCCUCUUCUGACCUCAGAGGUCAAGAAGGCGACGGCUCAGAGAAGAGGCUGGGGACAGCCAGGGUCAGAGUGAAGUGAGGACCCCGCCCCACCUCCGGGCCAGCAGGAGAGGGAGCCAGAAACCAGCUCAAGGGCUGCCCAGACAAGGACAGCGGCUUUUAACGCAGAGCUGCACACCGAGGAGGAGCUCCAGAGGCAAACCAGGACGCACCACCCCAAACUGUGCCAUGUUGGGGUGAGGGCUGUUUUCCCACAAAGGCAACUGAGAAGCGGCAGAUCCAAGGAAAGCUCCCCCAACUCAGGUCCUGCCUCAGAGCGGCACAGGAAUGACUGACAAGGGCAAGGCCCCUCCCUCCACCAGAACCGACAAAGGUCGAGGCAGCUUCAGGCCCUGCCGUCCUCUGCCAGCUCCCUGCCUCCUCCGAGAUGCCACCUGGAGACUCAUAGUCCAUGUCCUGUCAUGUGACAUCCCUAAAAUUUGACUGUUUGUUGAAGACGCCACGUGGGCCUGAAUUCACAGCCAGCUCUUUGAGAAUCACUCAUUCCCUGGCCACUCCCAAGUAGACGUGAAACAUGCACGUCAUGAGCCUCUGUUAUUUCUCCUGUUAAUCUGUCUGUAGCUGCAGGGUCCAUCCCAGCUGGGAACUAGAAAGGGUAGACAGAAAACUAUUUCUCCACCCCUACGAGAACAAACCCCAGGCAGGGAGUACAGCAGGGACCCCUCCCACAGUCCCCGUCGCCCCCCAGUCCCCGCCCCUCCCACAGUCCCCACGGAUGCGUGCUCAGGCCAGAGAGGGCUGAACACAUCCCCUGCCCGGGGACUUGCCCAGGAAGGACUGGUUGUGAAAGAAGAAAAACCACAUCCACAGAAUAUGUUCAUUUGGUUUUGUUUUUUUGAGACAGGGUCUCCCUCUGUCACCCAGGCCGGAGGGCAGUAGAGUGAUCGUGGCUCACACUUCAACCUCCUGUGCUCAGUCAGUCCUCCCACCUCUGCCUCCUGAGUAGCUGGGACUGCAGGCAUGUACCACCAUGCCUGGCUGAUUAUUUUUUUUGUAGAAACGGCGGGUGGUCGGGGGUGGGGGGCCGGUCUCACCAUGUUGCCCAGGCUGGUCUUGAACUCCUGACCUCAAGCAGUCCUCCCACCUCAGCUUCCCAAAGCGCUGAGAUUACAGGUGUGAGCCACGUGCCUGGCGUCCACAAAGUAUGUGAAUACAGUCACGCUUCAUAACAACGUUUCACCCAACCCCGGACCACAGAGAUGAUGCUGGCCCCAUAACAUUAAAAUGGAGCUGAAAAACUGCCAUCACCUUAAUGACGAUGUCACCAUGUUGUAGCACAAUUACUUGUUAAUAUCAGUUUAGUGUGGCCUCAGUGUGCAGCAUUUAUAAAGUCUAGAGUAGAGUACGGUCAUCUCCUAGGCCUUCGCAACCCCUCACGCUCACCCACUGCCUCGCCAGAGCAACCUCCAGUCCCGCGAGACCCACUCGUGAUGGGCACCCCAGGCAGGUGUGGCAUUUUUACCUUUUAUACCAUACUUUUACGGUCCCUUUUCUAGGAUUAGCUUUUGUGUUCAGGCACAUACUCAGCAUUAUGUCACAACUGCUUCCGGCAUUAAGUGGAUGACAGCUGUGGUUUGUCACCUAGGGGCAAUGGCUACACCACACAGCCUUGGUGUGGAAGAGGCUGUCCCAUCUGGGUGUGAGUGCCCUCCGUGAUGCUCACACAAAACGAAACCACCUAAUGACACAUUUCUCAGGACGCAUCCCCAUCAUUCAGCAACACCCAACUGUAUUCCCGAGCAACGGCGGCCUGCACCCGGAACUCACGCUGCCUCGGGUCCCAAAGGCUGAGAAUGUGGAGAUUAAAGAGGUUCCGGGCGGGGCCCCAGGCCCUCACCCUCCCCACCCACUGCAGAAGCAAACCACCUCCCCUGCAGGCCUCAAAUAAUUCCUACAGAUAAAAAUCUAACGAAUAUGAGCUCAUGCCAAAAAUCACACACACAAGAAGACAAACCACCACGGCUAAGGUCAGAAUCAGACCCACAAACACCUCAGACGCUGUCAUUUCCAGACACAGAACACAAACGUGUCAUGUGUAAAGAAAUAAGAGACAAAAAUAUAAAACCAAAAAAUCUGACCAAGCAAUUUUUAAAUAUCCACGCCAAUCUUCCGGAGAUGAAAUGCAUCAUGGCUGGCCUGUGGACCUUAGCAGACAGAUCUGACGGCCGAUCACACACGGCAGAGAACGCCAAGCUGGAGACACUGCAAAUAGCAUCCAAACCUGAGAGGCGGGACCCUGGCAGCAGCCGAUAAGAAACAAGGGGGCUUGGACUGAGUUCCAAGAGGAGAACAGAGGAAGGGGAGAAACGGUGUUUGAAGAGGCUCUGGUGGCUGAGGAAUUUCUAAAGCCAGCAAGACCCCAAAGCCCAAGAAGUGCCAGGCAGGUAAACACUCACCCGGCCAACAGGCAGGUAAACAAACACUCAUCUGGCCGACUCCCGGCCAAACCAGAGUGAAACCGCAGAACCCCAAAGACAAUGGAAGGAGCUGAAAGCAGCAAAAAGGAAAAAGCAGGCUGGGCGCGGUGGCUCACACCUGCAAUCUCAGCACUUUGGGAGACUGAGGCGGGUGGAUCACGAGGUCAGGAGUUCGAGACCAGCCUGGCCAACAUGGUGAAACACCCCGUCUCUACUAAAAAUACAAAAUUAGCCAGGCAUGG